UACGUAGGGCGCAAGCGUUGUCCGGAAUUAUUGGGCGUAAAGAGCUCGUAGGCGGCUUGUCACGUCGGGUGUGAAAGCCCGGGGCUUAACCCCGGGUCUGCAUUCGAUACGGGCAGGCUAGAGUGUGGUAGGGGAGAUCGGAAUUCCUGGUGUAGCGGUGAAAUGCGCAGAUAUCAGGAGGAACACCGGUGGCGAAGGCGCCACUCUGGGCCGGUACUGACGCUGAGGAGCGAAAGCGUGGGUAGCAAACAGG
rnacentral:rRNA from 1 species